UCUUUAUGUGCUCCCUGCCUGAAUCUACCAGCCAGCGAAUGACAACUGACUGAGUAUAAAUACUAGGACUACAGAACCGUGAUAAAAGGUGCCUGAGCUGAGUCCACACACUGGAAGCCCAGAACUGAGGGAACAGAUGAAAGAAAGAAAGUCAGCAGGUUUAGGGGAUGAGAACAACUCACAAAGGACAAGCCAUUGGUAAAUGAAAACCAAAGAAGGGGGGAAUAAGGACAAGU
rnacentral:lncRNA from 1 species